rnacentral:misc_RNA from 1 species
UUGUGCUGGAAUCACUAUGUGUGACUUGUUGUGGUUCCUUGGCACUAAUACAUGCUGUCGAUUGCUUGCUCUAGGGAAGUUCAGAGAAGGGUGGUUGGUUGAUGGGUGGCAACUUUAGUUACCUAGAUCCUUUCUCUACCUUGNNUGGAUCCUCUCUCAAGCAAAGCUAGGAGACUAGGGUUUGUUUCUAUUUGGGCCUUAGGGCUAUCUUGUAUUGGGUUCUGGCUUGGGCAGCUUGUUAGGACCCUUUUUAGUAUGUUCAAGUCUUGAUGGCUAGGUUAUAGUGUUGUUGAAUUUGCUCAUGUGUACUUGAGUUGAUCUAUGUUGUAAUGGGCCUAGGCAUUUUUUGAAUGUAAUGAAUUAUUUUUUUUUUGGCAAAAAAUAA